CCUACGGGAGGCAGCAGUGGGGAAUAUUGGGCAAUGGAGGAAACUCUGACCCAGCGACGCCGCGUGCGGGAUGAAGGCCUUCGGGUUGUAAACCGCUUUCAGCAGGGAAGAAGCGAAAGUGACGGUACCUGCAGAAGAAGCACCGGCUAACUAUGUGCCAGCAGCCGCGGUAAUACAUAGGGUGCAAGCGUUGUCCGGAAUUAUUGGGCGUAAAGAGCUCGUAGGUGGUUCGUCACGUCGGAUGUGAAAAUCUGGGGCUUAACCCCAGACCUGCAUUCGAUACGGGCGAGCUUGAGUAUGGUAGGGGAGUCUGGAAUUCCUGGUGUAGCGGUGGAAUGCGCAGAUAUCAGGAGGAACACCAAUGGCGAAGGCAGGACUCUGGGCCAUUACUGACACUGAGGAGCGAAAGCGUGGGGAGCGAACAGGAUUAGAUACCCUGGUAGUCCACGCCGUAAACGGUGGGCACUAGUUGUGGGGACCUUCCACGGUCUCUGCGACGCAGCUAACGCAUUAAGUGCCCCGCCUGGGGAGUACGAUCGCAAGNUUAAAACUCAAAGUUAGUUAGUAGCGNGNGAGNGCGCGACGACGACGACGGAGGAGGAG
rnacentral:rRNA from 1 species